CCGACCUCAGUGCUCCGUGAUUUGUUCAUGAGCUCCCGUGGAAAAAGUUGAAACGAUACGUUUUCCGUGUUCCCCAACAGGCACCGAUCGAGAAGAAGGGGGAGCUCGCCAGCGAGUGUCUGGUAAUCGGGCCUUGGGCCAUGGGGCCUGGUUGGGCUCAGCCCAAAUAGAUAACAUGGAGCCAACACCCUGUGGGCCCACUACCUGCAGUGGCAGGAUUCAGGGCUCGGUGCAUUGUGUGUUGGGCAGGAGGCAGGCGUGCUGAUCCCUGGUGUCGCAGACUGUGCUUCACCAUGGGACAACAUCCCACCACGUGUCUGUCCACGGUGCAACAAAGACAUCAGCAUCAUUGAGCACUUUGUGUACCUCAGAAAGACGUACUCCCACACCACGUCUGGGCCAACCCUGGACCAGUGGAUGCCAAAGCACACUCCAAAGAUCACCAGGUGGAGGGGUGAGGGUCACACCACCUGGGCAGGUCCUGGUCAAACACCAUCAAAAGACUAGGACCUGUAAGUCAUGUGGUCAGAGGUGGUCACAGCAGACAGGUCACAGUUUCCACCGCCCUUCAAAACAGACAUUCUGUCAGACCACUGACCCCCAGAACAGGACUGCCUGAUGCGGACAAGGGCCCUGUGGUGUAUUAAAGAUUAAAGUCCCACUGAUUGUCACACACCUGAGUGUGUGAAA